rnacentral:rRNA from 1 species
AGUUAGUAGGGUAAUAGCGUACCAAGGCAAUGUCGGGUAGGGGACGAGAGAGGGUGGCCCCCCACAAUGGAACUGAAACACAGUCCAUACUCGUACGGGUGGCAGCAGUAGGGAAUAUUAGAAAUGGGCGAAAGCCUGAUCUAGCAACACCGCGUGUGCGAUGAAGGCCUUCGGGUUGUAAAGCACUUUUUGGAGAGAAUAGGAAGGAAGGUACCUCCAGAAUAAGUCUCGGCUAACUACGUGCCAGCAGCCGCGGUAACCGUAGGAGGCAAACGUUAUCCGGAUUCACUGGGCGUAAAGCGCGUGUAGGUGGUUCUGUAAGUAGGGCGUGAAAGCUCCCGGCUCAACUGGGAGAGGCCGUACUAAACUGCAGAGCUAGAGGAUGGUAGAGGGAGGUGGAAUUCCAGGUGUAGUGGUGAAAUGUGCAGAUAUAUGGAGAAACAUCAGUGGGGAGGGGGCCGUCUUGGAACCUUCAAGACACUCAGACGCGAAAGGUUGGGUAUAUCAAACAAUAAGAGAUUCCGGUAUUCCUAACCCUAAAAGAUGCAGACUAGGGGUGGGGGGUUU